AGACCCUUCUUCAUGAAGAAAAAGGGAGACAAGAGAAGGCCUUGCCAUUCAACUCCAUCGAAUCCACUUAACUCAGUUAAACCAGCACCAGAAACAGAACCAACAAAAUAAGCUGUCACUGUCAACAACAGCAGGGUUGAAACGUUCGACUCAAGGUCUUCUUGGUAGUCAAAGGUAAAACACGGGAUGGAGUGCCAACCUGGAGUCAGGAAGACUCAUCUUUCUGAGUUCAAAUUUGGACUCACUAGUUGUGUGACCCUGGGCAAGUUAGUUAACCCUGUUUGCCUCAGUUUCCUUAUCUGUCAAAUAAACUGGAGAAGGAAAUGAGAAACUACUCCAGUAUCUUUUCGAAGAGAAUCCUAAAUAUCAUCUUGAAGAGUUGGAUACCACUGAAAAUGAUUGAAUACCACAGGCAUUUAUAUAACCUAAUGAAAAAGAACCUUGUUAUACUAGAGAAGUCAACCUUGCUGCUUUAGCCUCCUCUUUAUUCUCUGGCAACUUCACGCUGUGGCCAACACUUUUAAAACUGCUAAAUUUGUAAAUAACAUUAUUUUUAAGUAUUUUCUUUGGUAUGCAUUAUAUCCAUAAAAAUCUACACGACCAUUCAAAUCUAUACUAUAUUUACUCACUUGAAUGCUAGCAGUGAGAUUGCUUAAGUCUACUAUAUUUAAAGUUCUAAGAAUGCAAAAAUAAAAAUAGUCCUCAUCCUCCAAAAGAAUUUACAUUUAUCAGCACAGAUCAAUAUGUACAUAGCAAAUUAAAUGAGGAACAGAGUCAAGAUGAUAGAAUGGAAAAUAUAACCUAGCUCAAUAAAUCUCCUUCAUAAAGAUCUAGAAAAUGCUCCACAUAAUUCUGAAGUGGAAUCCCAAGAAAAAGUCAACGAGGGUCAUUUUUUCCAGCCCAAAGGUUUGUUAUUUUUGUUGCUCCUUUGUUCUAGAAGAGGCCCAACAACAUCAGAGGGUGCUGUCGGUGAUGUCUUGACUUGCAAAUGCUUUUGUGCUGUAAGAAAUUAGGAAAUAGAUAUCAAAGAGAAAUGAAAGACAUGAAAACGGAUGGUGAAGCAGAAGCAGUAUAACAAUUCAUACUUUAAUUUAAACAUCAACAUUAUAAAAUAAAAAAUGUUGAAGAUUAUUAUAAAUUAACUAAAUGAACAGAACCAGAACAAUUUAUAUUAUUAGCAACAUUGUAAAGGCAAACCAGAACAAUUUAUAUUAAUAGCAACAUUUUAAAGGCAAACAACUUUGAAAGCUUUAAUAAUUAAGAUUAAUACAGUGGAUGCCUAUGUUUAUAAAAGAAUGAUGACAAAAUACACUAUCUCCCUCCUAACUUAAAGGAGAUAAGAUUUAGGAUACAGUAUGAAACAUGUAUACUUUUAUUUAUAAUCAGUGAAGGAAUUAGUUUGUGACCAGGAAUAUGUUUUUCUUUUUUUUUCCUCCAAUAAGAUAAUAGGUGGGAUGUAGAAGAGAGAUUUCUGUUAAUCAUUUUUAUAAAGCAAAUUAAAAAUAGAAAAAUGAGUUUUUUUUUUUUUUAAAUUUAAAAUAGAG
rnacentral:lncRNA from 1 species